GGAUCUGGAUGUAGAACUCAGCUACUUCUUCAAAAUCAUGUCUGCCUGUGGGUUGCCAUGGUUCCCACCUUUCUGGUAAUGGACUAAACUUCUGAAACUGGUCUAUGACAUAUUGUGACUGUCAUUAAAGUCAUUUCUGUGCAAAAGAAACCUCACUAACAGUCUUGAGGCUUUCUGAUAUCACUGGAUUCUUCUUGUUCCUGGUCCAUUUGGAUUCUUGGGAGUCCACAUAAACUGACAUUGGAACAAGAAGAACAGAGUCUGGGAUGAGACUAUAGUGUACAGAGUGGAGCACUAGAAUUUUUCCUCUCAAUUUUGAAAAAUUUGGUUGUUUUCCUUACAUGCUACAUAUUUGGGAUUGUCAAUGAAAUGAAAGUAGUGUGAAAGACUUGAUGGCUGGUAUCAAAUGGAAGCAGCUACUGAGUAUCUGGAAAAAGGCACCACCAUCGAAGACUGGAGAAGAUGUGUGUUUAGAAUGGUGGCCAGAGUUAAGUACAAUACCACAGAGCUUCUGGAGUCCAGUGAACUUCUCUGUGUUCUUAUCAAGAAGAGAAUGACUUGCCACUCAAAACCGGUAACUGUUCUCUAAUUGGCAAAGUCAUCAUUUGCUACAAAAUUACACACACACAUACACACACACACACACACACACACACACACACACACUUACAAAUUAAUAGUUACAUAGGGACAUAUAGCAGGGAUUGUUAUUUGUGUUGUUGUUCUGUGCUGGUGCUAAAAAAUGCAAUUUUUCCAUCAAAGAGAAUAUAAAAAAGAAACAGAAAAAGAGUGAUUUAUGUAACCGUCAAUGAUAUUUUAAGUUACACUGCCACAUCAUAUAAACCUAUUUGUUCAGGUCAGCUUCUUAGUUCUUGGUAACACUUUGUUUUUCUCUGAGAUCUUUAAAUAUUUAGAUUUUUGUUUAGUUUGUUUUUAGUUGUGAUAUUGUUUUCUAUGCUAUGGCAGUUACUUGAAAAUAAAACCAGGAACAUCUAAAUUUAAAAAAAAACUUUAAAAACUUAAAAUACAUGAAAGAGGAAUGCACAUUUUAAUCUGUUGCCUUUGGGUAAAAAUUGGAUUUUUGUGAUAGAACUGUUACAGAUAAAUUAUCUUACACACACAAAAAUACCGUGGGAACGGGGAGAAAUCUAAAUUUCAGAGUUGACAAUGUUUAUCUGUUGAGAAAUGAUGUUUAUGCAAAAGGUACAAUAUGAUGAUUCAAUUUCAUUUGCAAAGAAAGGCAUUUUCAGCUGUUGGAUCAGAACUAUAAAAAGAAAUGUUUUCAUCUGUGAGUUCACAGAUUGAUUUGAACAAUUCUUCAGGCAGAAAAGCAAACUUUUGUAGCUCAUAAACUAUGGAACUGUACAGAAUCUGUGAUGCAUUGUUUUCAUUAAUUCUACAAAGUGUGAUGCCAUAGUCACCAUAGUAACACUGUCUGGCUGUCCAUUCCAGGAGCAUGGUCUCCCAAAACAUCAGGCUGUCUUCAUCAAGAAGAAUAUCUUCAUUUCUGUUAUCUGAAGAGAUGACAAAGGGUUAUAAGAAUUUAUCUACAGCAGAUCAGGCUGAAUUUUCAUAUAACAGAGUGAUGAGAAAUGUGAUUGUUAUAUGGAUAGAAUGUUCAGUAAUUUCUCCAAAAGCAGAAAAGGCAGUACAAAUGCCACUACAUACGUAAUGCCAAGGUCACCAUUCAGAGUUAUGGAGAAUAAAGUUCUGUCGGAAGAUAGAAAAGUUUUAAGUGUCUCUGAGUUGUGGUAAUUCAUUAUGCAAUAAUAUCUAGGUUCAUUCAA